rnacentral:rRNA from 1 species
GUACUGUGCGAAUGUUAUUCGGAAUCACUGGGCUUAAAGGGUGCGUAGGGCGGUCAUUUAAGUAGGGAUGUGAAAUCCCCCGGGCUCAACCGGGGAACUGCGCUCUAAACUGGGUGGCUUGAGUAAGAUAGGGGUGUGCGGAACUUCCGGUGGAGCGGUGAAAUGUGUUGAUAUCGGAAGGAACACCAGUAGCGAAAGCGGCACACUGGGUCUUAACUGACGCUGAGGCACGAAAGCUAGGGUAGCGAACGGGAUUAGAUACCCCGGUAGUCCUAGCCGUAAACGAUGAGCACUAGUUGGGAGGCGCUCUGAGCAUUUCCCAACGUAGCAAAAGUGUUAAGUGCUCCGCCUGGGGAGUAUGGUCGCAAAGGCUG